rnacentral:rRNA from 1 species
AUUGAACGCUGGCGGCAUGCCUUACACAUGCAAGUCGAACGGCAGCACGGGGCAACCUGGUGGCGAGUGGCGAACGGGUGGGUAAUGCAUCGGAACGUACCUUUCAGUGGGGGAUAACGUAGCGAAAGUUACGCUAAUACCGCAUAUUCUGUGAGCAGGAAAGCAGGGGAUCGCAAGACCUUGCGCUGAUUGAGCGGCCGAUGUCAGAUUAGCUAGUUGGUGAGGUAAAGGCUCACCAAGGCGACGAUCUGUAGCGGGUCUGAGAGGAUGAUCAGCCACACUGGAACUGAGACACGGGCCAGACUCCUACGGGAGGCAGCAGUGGGAAGUUUGGACAAUGGGGGCAACCCUGAUCCAGCCAUGCCGCGUGAGUGAAGAAGGCCUUCGGGUUGUAAAGCUCUUUCGGCCGGGAAGAAAUCGCACGGGCUAAUACCCUGUGUGGAUGACGGUACCGGAAUAAGAAGCACCGGCUAACUACGUGCCAGCCGCCGCUGUAAUAC